AGACCGGUGUUCCGAGUGGUCGAUGGGGGCGGACUCUUAAUCCGCAUGCGAAAGCACACCGUGGGUUCAAAUCCCACCCGGUCUACCA
rnacentral:tRNA from 1 species